UCAACGUGUCUUUACUCUUCACGUACAAUUCCCUCCCUUACCUUCUGAUAAACUGACCAGGUUCAAUGAACCUAACCACCCACCUUUAUUCUUUAUUUAUCCUAUGAUCCAGAUUUCAUCCUCAGCCCACCAAAAAUUCUGCAGACAAAUUGCUUCCAAAUUCUUCAUGUGUGUAUAUAUAUAUAUAUAUAUAGUAUUUGUGGGUAGCUAUUUUUUUCCUGAGUAAUUAUAUUAGCUACAUUUGUGUACAGUACACGCAGACUCAGUGGUGAAGUAACAUUCUGUAUAUAUGUGCGUGAUCUGAAGAAGGUAUACUGGAUCUUCCAUGGUUUUGGCUCCUGCUGCUUACUGUUCGGUAUUAUUCUCUUCACCUUCUUCUUCGGCGUCUCUCAAUCAGAUUGGAGGUACGUACGUAUACACGAAUUCUCUCUCCACUCUUUGAUUAGUUCAUUCUAAUUUUGAAUGUUUUUUACUUAAUUUUUUCUUUGAUUUCAUGAUUUUUUUUAAAAAAAAAAAAAAAAAAAAAGUGGUGAAAAGACAUUGAUGAUCGGUGCUUUCGAUGCUCAGUGUUCCAUGAUUUAAUUUGUAGAGACAGCAUUAGUACAGGAAGAAGAUGAAGAGUUGGGAAAGAAGAAGGCAGAAAAUGCAAUAAUAUUUCGGGUAGAAAUGAUGGAUAGAUCCCCUUCAAAAUUUGGAUGCCACAUUUCCAUUGCUUUGAUCAAUUUCAGGUGAGUAACCUACGCCUCUCAUAUAAACGUUACAUAUGUAUAUAUAUAUAUGUAUGUAUGUAUGUAAAGGAAUAUUACUGGCAUGGAGUCUGUCUGCUGGAUUGUGGAUAUUCUCGAAGAGGGAAUUUAGUCGUGAUUAAUUUGAUUAAUAUUAGAAUAAUAUUAAAUUAAAUUAUUGGAUAUAUAUAUAUAUGUAUGUAUAUAAACAAUAAUGAGUAGGGCCAGUGCAGUAGACUUACUCUGACAUAAUUUCAACUCCUGCCGUUGUCAUGCAGCCUUUUAGAAUCUUAUGAAUUUUCUAUCGGUAAUAUUUAAUUCAGCUGCCGCCCAAUGACAAUUAGAGAGAAAAACACAUGUAUGCAUACACACACACACAUAUAUAUAUAUAUAUUAUAUAUUAAUAAACGCAUGUAUAUGUAUAAUAUAUUCGGGAUUUAUAUAGUAAUCAUAAUUAAAUUAAUGAAAAAAAAUUUAGUGAGUACUGGGGAAGAAAUUGGGAUGCGCAUUGGUUGCAGGGAAAGGGAGACCAGCAAUAGGCAACGGAAGUGGAACCAAAUUUAGGAGCAGCAGCGCGCAAUGCAAUCACCAAAUUAGAUAUCAGUCCGAUGAUCAAGGAGCUGAUGAAAAGAGUUCCCCUAUCAAAACUUCAUUCAUCUGGAUAUAUAUAUAUAUAUAUAUAUAUAUAUAUACACACACGUGUGUGUGUGCUAUAUAUAUUCCAGACACUACCUACUUAUUUAUUAUAUAAAAUGAUCCUUAAUUUGCGUAUGUUUAUAUGCGAUGGAUGAGCAUAUAAUAGUGAGGGGAUACAUUCAGAAAUUUUACUGAAUGUAUUGAGUUCACCAGAUGCUUUGUAAUAAAGGUUUCUUUACUGAUAUUAACUACUGGGUAUUUGUGCUUGACCAUAAAUUUAUUAGAUAAAGUUCAGAAAUUGAACUCUUUGUAAUU
rnacentral:lncRNA from 1 species